rnacentral:rRNA from 1 species
UACAGAGGGUGCGAGCGUUAAUCGGAAUUACUGGGCGUAAAGCGUGCGCAGGCGGUUAUGUAAGACAGUUGUGAAAUCCCCGGGCUCAACCUGGGAACUGCCUUUGUGACUGCAUAGCUAGAGUACGGUAGAGGGGGAUGGAAUUCCGCGUGUAGCAGUGAAAUGCGUAGAUAUGCGGGAGGAACACCGAUGGCGAAGGCAAUCCCCUGGACCUGUACUGACGCUCAUGCACGAAAG